CACUUCCCAUUUUUUUCUUUGAUGUAUAAUUUUGAGAUUUAUUUACUGUUCUUUUUAAAACAAUUAUAUCUAUUAAAAUUGUAUAUUUUUCACUUGUUACACAAACAUGUAAAUUUUCUACAUUAUUAUAAGCCUCAUAUAAUCUUAGAGGCUACUCAAUAUAGAAGUAACUCCUAUAUUAACCAUUCUCUUAGAAUUGGUUACCAAGGUGGAAUUAUGGAGGAGUAAAAAGAAUGAUUCAUAUUUGCUUUGAUAAUAGACUUGUUAUAAUCUUUUAUAAUAGUUACCUUAUCAGUGGAUGUGCAGCUGGAGAGGACAAAGAUGAUUUUGGGAAAUAUUCCAAGUAUACUGGGUUGAAUAGUAUUCCCUCAAAAUUCCUGCCCACUCAGAACCUCAGAAGGAGAUCUUAUUUGAGCUUUUGUACAUGCAAUUAGUUAAGUUAUAGAUGCAGUCAUAAUGGAGUAGGGUGGGCUCUAAGUCCCAUGGCUGGCGUCCUCAUAAGAAGGUCGUGUGAAGACAGAGAGACACGCACACACCGAGGGAGAAAGAUCAGCGAAGAUGGAGGCAGAUAUUGGAGUGAUGAAGCUUCUAGGUCAAGGACCUCCAAGGAUUGUUGACAUCCACAAGAGGCUCCAAGAGGCAAGGAAGGGUCUUUGCCCAGGGCCUGCAGAGGGAACAUGGCCAUGUUCACUCCCUGACUAGACUUCCAGCCUCCAGAAUGCUGAGAGACUCAGUUUCUGUUGUUUAAGCCCCCCAGUUUGUGGCGGUUUGUGAGGCUCCUGGGAACAGAUGCGAGCUCCACAUGGCCGCACAUCACAGCUCAUUAAGGGCUCAGGAUAAGAAAAGAAACCCACAAGAAGACUCUCAAGGUCCAGCAUCGAAGUUUAGAGUCCUGUCUCUCCCCCGCCCCCCGCCCCGACCCCCCAGGCCUCCACUGUCAGUAUGGACUUGACUUACUAUGGUGGUUACUUUAAGCCACUGAGUUUUGGGGUAAUCUGUUGCGCUGCAAUAGACAGCUAAAACAGCUUGUACUCUGACUAUCGAGGGUUGACUCCUUAAGAUUUUGUUCUAGGGCAGUGAGGUCACUUAGCUUUUCUUGGUGGCAUGAGAGGACAGAUUUUAUUCUACAGGAUGGACAGGCUGUCAGGAACCACUGGGACAAACUCAGAGAUCGUAGCUAGAAGACAUCAUUGCAAUAGUCUUUUUCCAGUUCUGCUGUGUCAACACAGUUGCUGCCGCUAUUUCAUUUUCCCUUCAGCUGACUUGGUUGGACGUGGUUCCCUGAGCUGCUUGGUCUUAUCCCCAUCCUCGGGACAGACAGAUGUCCAGCACUGCAGCCUCCUAGUCUCAGGUAUCCAUGAGGUUAGGACCCCACAGAUCUGCCUGGCAGAGCUGACGGGACCAGAUGUCCGGUGCUGCUCCUCAGAUCUCUGAACUUGAUCAACCAUGGCAAAGGAUAAACAUAGGAGGAAGGGAGCUUACUGCAUUCAUUAAGGAGCUUAGUCAUUGCUAUGUCUUGGAAGCAGCAUGAAAUAUGAAGUCAGAAGUUUUGGGUUCAUGUUUCUCCUUUGCUAUUUACUAAUUGUGCGAGUUUAGGGAAGUCAUAUACACUGGGAACCUCAGUUUCUCCGUCAGUAGAAUGGGGACAAUAUUAAUCAUCCAACCCAGUCUUAUAUCCAGAUGAAAGAAAGAGAGAGAGAGAGAGAGAGAGAGAGAGAGGGAGAGAGAAAAUGAAUGAACUUUACAAGCUAUGAAAUGUGAAUAUAGUAGUUGGUCUUGUAGAUAUUUAUUAUAUUAUAGUAUCUUAGGGAAUGUUCGCGAAGGGCAUAUCCUUAGAAAACAAGCCCAAAUUCAUAUUAGCCCCAUAAAUAAGAACCGCUGUGGGAGAAGAUAGGACACUCUGCCCACGACGGGGAUUUGAUUCUGGGAGUUUGAGAGGUUCUGUCUCCUGGGGAAGUUCCUCAGGCUUUGGUGAAGGUUAUCUUAGGUGGACUCUGGCCUGGUUGAUUCAGCUUCUCACGAACCCAGCUGGGACCCUGGUCCACCUCCUGCUGGCCUCGCUGUUGGCCAUGUGGACUCUGACCCUCCUGGUGCCUGUGGUGACGGCAUCGAAACCUCUCCAAAUUUAGAAAAAUGGGAAAGCGGUCCUCAGCGUUUCUCAUAGGCUAUUUUGAUGCUGCCUUUUCCUUCUUUGCCGCAUUUCUCCCCAGCACUAAGAAGUAUCGUGUUCACUUCGUUGGGUGCCAUGUGGUCUUUCCUUUGACUCCACUGCCUCUUGUUUAUGAAACACAGGGAGUCAACCGUGACAAAUGGCCAGCAGCCAUCUGCCUCCAAAGGACAGAGACUCUUUUCUUCCCCUGUUUUGUUUUAAAAAUAAUAAGGUAUUUUUCCUUUUGGGGGGGGGGAUUUUUUUUAUUAUUCAGAGAUACAUAGCAUCGAGAAAAACUCUGAAGCCAGGAGACCUGGGUUCCCACCCCAGAUCGGGCAAGUUGAGCUCUCUGGAGCCUUGGCGACUCGGGGGAUGUCAUGGGUGUGAAAGCCCGUUGCAAACGACAAAAUGCAAUAUGGAUGUUCUCAUUGUGGCUUCUCCUUCCCAGGCCCCCUCGCAGGGGGAGCGGCUUUUCAGAGACUCCUGGGAAUGCUGUAUCAGCGCAUGUGUGUAUUUGAUCUGCAACAAGAAGGUCCUGAGGACCCCAUGGCGGAUUUAUUUCUCACCUCAAAGAUGUGCAACCCUGCUUUUGAGAUCCGGCCCCUGCCAGCUCAAUGCCCUACAGCCAUUGUGCCCCACCUACAAGUUUAAGACUAGACUAGUGUUGGCCCUGAGUCUCCUGCUGAUCCACCCCAGUGGCCAUGGGUCUUAUUCCGUCCAGCUCCAAGGCUUGCUGGACCCCACAGGGUGACUAUCUCUUUUGCCAGACAGUGUGGGCUGUGGGCCAGAUGUGUGGCCCUAGCCAGCUGUGUUCGUGGAUUCACGUGCAUCCUCCAGGACCUUUGUCAUCAUGAACAGUCCGAAUCAAUGAAUGCUAUUCUCAUAAUUUGUGUGUAGUUGGCUUCCCAUGUUUCCCCUUCUCUGAGGGUCACAUGGGAAGACAGGACAGCACAUGCAAAUGUCACUGCUUUAUCUCUGAAGGUGUCGGCAAGCCGUCCCGCACCUCUGCUUCAGUGGGCCUAUAUGCUGCGGCCAGUGGCAGAGCAGACACUAAUCAAGCAGACUGUAUUUGACCCAGAAGAGCAGUGUUGUAAUUGGGAGGCCAAGGAGACCAAGGCCUGAGCACCCAUCAAUUAUCAUUAAGACUAUCAUGUGUCACAAAACCCAGAGGAGGCGCAGAAGGCGGCCGGGAUAAUGGCAAGAGCGAGGUUGUAAUCAGAGACUGGUGGGCUGGAAGGGACAUUGGAGAUCCUCCCUCUUCUGGACCCCACGUGUGAGCCCAUGGAGCCCUGAGGGGCAGCCACCUGGGACGGGCACACUGUUAAUUCAUGGCAGGGCUGGGGCCGUAACAGAGAUCUUGGAUA